rnacentral:rRNA from 1 species
CAGCAGCCACGGUAAUACGUAGGGGGCAAGCGUUAUCCGGAUUUACUUGGUGUAAAGGGAGCGCAGGCGGUCUGGCAAGUUGAGAGUGGAAGCAGGGGGCUCAACCCCCCGACUGCUCCCAAAACUGUUGGACUGGAGUAUGGGAGAGGCAGGCGGAAUUCCUAGUGUAGCGGUGAAAUGCUCAGAUAUUAGGAAGAACACCGGCGGCGAAGGCGGCCUGCUGGACCAAAACUGACGCUGAGGCUCGAGAGCGUGGGGAGCGAACAGGAUUAGAUACCCCGGUAGUCCCUGUCUCUUAUAC